UUGGUCCUAAACUUAGAGUUAUUUAUAAGCUGAUUUUAUACAUGCAAGUAUCCGCAACCCAGUGCAUACAGCCUACUUAAACAGAGCAGAUAUCAGGCGCACACACUGUAGCCCACAACAUCUAGCCAUGCCACACCCCCACGGAACCCAGCAGUAAUAAACAUUAAGCCAAUGAGCUACAGCUCGACUUAGAUACAGCUUUUUCCCCGCCGGUAAACUCCGUGCCAGCCACCGCGGUUACACGAAGGGCGUAGAAUAACCCCACACGGCGUAAAAAGUGACUAGAAGCCAAUUUUAAACACAGGGCCCACAACUCAGAUAUAGUUGUAAAAUACCCACAUCUAAAAGGAAACCCUUCACCCCUAUUAACAAAUCAGCUUUGACCCCACGAAACCUGAGAAACAAACUAGGAUUAGAUACCCUACUAUGCCCAGACAUAAACCCAGGCAGAUCCCCCCACUACCCUGCCCGCCAGAGAAUUACACGCACCCUAGCGUAAAACUCAAAGGACUUGACGGUGUCCCAUACCGACCUAGAGGAGCCUGUCCUAUAAUCGAUAACCCACGAUAAACCUCACCCCCCAUUGCAUAACACUCCAUUUUCAACCUAUAUACCGCCGUCGCCAGCCUACCUUAUGAAAGACAAUAGAAGUGGGCAAAAUAGCUUACCACUAAAACGUCAGGUCAAGGUGUAGUUAAUUGAGGGGCAGUGAUGGGCUACAUUUUCUAUCAAUAGAAGCCCCCAGCAGUAUGAAACUAGUGCUAUAAGAAGGAUUUAGCAGUAAACGGGGCGAGAGCUGCCCGCUUGAAGAGCGCCCUGAGACGCGUACACACCGCCCGUCACCCUCCUCAACAAGUAUAAAUAAAAUUAACUAAAUCACCGCAACAUAACCAGAUGAGGCAAGUCGUAACAUGGUAAGUGUACUGGAAAGUGCACUUGGCAAAAC
rnacentral:ncRNA from 1 species